GGGCUCGCCCACAAUUUGUUGUGAGUAAUGCCCACCAAGCUAUUACAGUUCGGGCUCUGAGAGGAGUAGCCCGGAGAUGGUACUGAGACACGACACAGGCCCAUGGGGCGCAGCAGGCGAGAAAACUUUGCAAUGUGCGAAAGCACGACAAGGUUAAUCCGAGUGGUUUCUGCUAAAGGAACCUGUCGUCGGUCCUAGAUACACCGAUGAAUAAGGGGUGGUCAAGUUCUGGUGUCAGCCACCGCGGUAAAUCCAGCACCUCAAGUGGUCAGGAUGAUUAUUGGGCCUAAAGCAUCCGUAGCCGGCUCUGUAAGUUUUCGGUUUAAAUCUGUACGCUCAACGUACAGGCUGCCGGGAAUACUGCAGAGCUAGGGAGUGGGAGAGGUAGACGGUACUCGGUAGGAAGGGGUAAAAUCCUUUGAUCUAUUGAUGACCACCUGUGGCGAAGUCGGUCUACCAGAACACGUCCGACGGUGAGGGAUGAAAGCUGGGGGAGCAGACCGGAUUAGAUACCCGGGUAGUCCCAGCUGUAAACUAUGCAAACUCAGUGAUGCAUUGACUUGUGGUCAAUGCAGUGCUGCAGGGAAGCCGUUAAGUUUGCCGCCUGGGAAGUACGUACGCAAGUAUGAAACUCAAAUGAUUGACGG
rnacentral:rRNA from 1 species